rfam:Pantoea ananatis LMG 20103, complete genome.
UGUUGCUCAUUCAUCUGUUUAUGAUUGCCACCCCACAGCGGGCAGAGCUCAUAAAAUCCGAAUGACGCACCAAACGGAGCCUGUCGUCCACCCAACCGAUAAUCGUAUGUUCUGCAUCGUUAUCAAGCAUCGGACGCAACGUUGAGUUAGGCUCCACCCA